GACGAACGCUGGCGGCGUGCUUAACACAUGCAAGUCGAACGGAAAGGCCCUGCUUUUGUGGGGUGCUCGAGUGGCGAACGGGUGAGUAACACGUGAGUAACCUGCCCUUGACUUUGGGAUAACUUCAGGAAACUGGGGCUAAUACCGGAUAGGAGCUCCUGCUGCAUGGUGGGGGUUGGAAAGUUUCGGCGGUUGGGGAUGGACUCGCGGCUUAUUAGCUUGUUGGUGGGGUAGUGGCUUACCCAGGCUUUGACGGGUAGCCGGCCUGAGAGGGUGACCGGCCACAUUGGGACUGAGAUACGGCCCAGACUCCUACGGGAGGCAGCAGUGGGGAAUAUUGCACAAUGGGCGGAAGCCUGAUGAAGCAACGCCGCGUGCGGGAUGACGGCCUUCGGGUUGUAAACCGCUUUAGCCUGUGACGAAGCGUGAGUGACGGUAAUGGGUAAAGAAGCACCGGCUAACUACGUG
rnacentral:rRNA from 1 species